rnacentral:rRNA from 1 species
UUUCGAAUCAUUCACAAUGGGCGAAAGCCUGAUGGUGCGACGCCGCGUGAGGGAUGAAGGCCUUCGGGUUGUAAACCUCUGUCACCGGGGAAGAAACGCUGCAAGUUAACAGCUUGCAGCCUGACUUAACCCGGAGAGGAAGCAGUGGCUAACUCUGUGCCAGCAGCCGCGGUAAUACAGAGACUGCAAGCGUUAUUCGGAUUCACUGGGCGUAAAGGGUGCGCAGGCGGCCGUGUGUGUGAGGCGUGAAAGCCCGAUGCUUAACAUCGGAAUUGCACCUCAAACUACAUGGCUAGAGCAUUGGAGAGGGUAGCGGAAUUCACGGUGUAGCAGUGAAAUGCGUAGAUAUCGUGAGGAACACCAGAGGCGAAGGCGGCUACCUGGACAAUUGCUGACGCUCAGGCACGAAAGCGUGGGGAGCAAAAG